rnacentral:rRNA from 1 species
UACAGAGGUCCCAAGCGUUGUCCGGAAUUACUGGGCGUAAAGAGCUCGUAGGUGGUUUGUCGCGUUGUUCGUGAAAACUCACAACUCAAUUGUGGGCGUGCGGGCGAUACGGGCAGACUGGAGUACUGCAGGGGAGACUGGAAUUCCUGGUGUAGCGGUGGAAUGCGCAGAUAUCAGGAGGAACACCGGUGGCGAAGGCGGGUCUCUGGGCAGUAACUGACGCUGAGGAGCGAAAGCGUGGGGAGCGAACAGG